rnacentral:tRNA from 1 species
GGGGACGUAGCUCAAUUGGGAGAGCGCCGCCCUUGCAAGGCGGAGGUUGUCGGUUCGAGCCCGAUCGUCUCCAC